GGUGUGUGUCCAUGAGGCAGUUUAUUCCCCUGGUGGGACCCCCCCAGAGGGCACUGGCAGUGGAGGAUGGGUGAUCUGCUCCGUAGGGUGGUGCGAGAACAUUAAGCACUGGGCAGGGGCAAUGUCUGAGGGAAUGGAGAUCUCAGACACAGCGGGGCAGCUGCAUCCCACCCCAGGCUCAGCGUCAGGGAGCAGCUCCAUGUCGACUGGACCCUCUGGAUCUCUAGAGUGAAAUCAAGGAGUUGGUCGUGGGCUUCAGGAAGGGGAAAUUGAGGGAUCACACACCAGUCCUCAUGGAGGGAUCAGAAAUGGAAAAGGAAAUCGUUUAAAUUUAAGAGACGUGCAGAAGAAGACCUGAGAGCUGGAGCAGGAUUACAAAACAAAAACGAUUCUGGGAUGUACUCCUGUCCUAGACCAUCGAAAGCUUUAAAAACAAAAGGGUGUUCCACUAAUAUCAGCAGCACAGAGAGAAGAGAUGGGCUCUGUUUCUUGGAGGACACAAAUGCAAGAUUGAAUUCAAGAGGACGACUAACCAUGGAAAUGCUGAUGGUUCCCGACCUGUGGUAGUGGCCAGUGCCGUCAUGUUUGCUGUUGUGUGCUGGGGCAGCAGGCUGAGGGUAGCAGACACCAACAGGAUCAACAAACUCAUUCGUAAGGCCAGUGAUGUUGUGGGGAUGGAACUGGACUCUCUCACGGUGGUGUCUGAAAAGAGGAUGCUGUCUAAGUUGCAUGCCAUCUUGGUCAAUGUCUCCCAUCCACUACAUAAUGUACUGGGUGGGCACAGGAGUACAUUCAGCCAGAGACUCAUUCUACCGAGAUGCAGCACAGAGCGUCAUAGGAAGUCAUUCCUGCCUGUGGCCAUCAAACUUUACAACUCCUCCCUUGGAGGGUCAGACACCCUGAGCCAAUAGGCUGGUCCUGGACUUAUUUCCUGGCAUAAUUUACAUAUUACUAUUUAACUAUUUAUGGUUUUAUUACUAGUUGUUAUUUAUGGAGCAACUGUAACGAAAAUCCAAUUUCUCCCGGGAUCAAUAAAGUAUGACUAUGACAAUGACCUUCUCCCCGUAACCUUUGAUGCCAUGUCCAAUCAAGAACCUAUCAAUUUCUGCCUUAAAUACACCCAACGACCUGGCCUCCACAGCUGUAUGUGGCAAAAAUUUCCACAAAUUCACCACCUCUGACAAAAGAAAUUUCUCCGCAUCUCUGUUUUGAAAGGGCACCCCUCUAUCCUGAGGCUGUGCCCUCUUGUCCUAGACUCCCCCACCAUGGGAAACAUCCUUUCCACAUCUACUCUGUCUCGGCCUUUCAACAUUUGAAAGGUUUCAAUGAGAUUCCCCCCUCAUCCUGAAUUCCAGCAAGUACAGACCCAGAGCCAUCAAACGUUCAUCGUAUGAUAACCCUUUCAUUGCUGGAAUCAUCUUUAUGAACUUCCUCUGGACCCUCUCCAAUGCCAGCACAUCUUUUCUAAGAUGAGGGGCCCAAAACUGUUCACAAUACUCAAGGUGAGGCCUCACCAGUGCCUCACAAAGCCUCAGCACUACAUCCCUGCUCUUGUAUUCUAGACCUCUUAAAAUGAAUGCUAACAUGGCAUUUGCCUUCCUCACCACCGACUCGACCUGCAAGUUAACCUUUAGAGUGUUCUGCACAAGGACUUCCAAGUCCCUUUGCAUCUCAGAUUUCUGGAUUUUCUCCCCGUUUAGAAAAUUGUCCACACUGCUAUUUCUACUACCAAAGUGCAUGACCAUGCAUUUUCCAACAUUCUAUUUCAUUUGCCACUUUCUCGCCCAUUCUCCUAAUCUAAGUCCUUCUGCAUCCUACUUGUUUCCUCAACACUACCUGCCCCUCCACCAAUCUUCGAAUCAUCUGCAAACUUGGCAACAAAGCCAUCUAUUCCAUCAUCUAAAUCGUUUAUAUACAGCAUAAAAAGAAGCGGUCCCAACACCGAUCCCUGCGGAACACCACUAGUCACUGGCAGCCAACCGGAAAAGGAUCCUUUUAUUCCCACUCGCUGCCUCCUAACAAUCAGCCAAUGCUCUAACCAUGUUAGUAACUUUCCUGUAAUAACAUGGACUCUUAAUUUGGUAAGCAGCCUCAUGUGUGGCACCUUGUCAAAGGCCUUCUGAAAGUCCAAACACACAACAUCCACUGCAUCCCCUUUAUCUAUCCUACUUGUUAUCUCCUCAAAGAAUUCCAACAGGUUCAUCAGGCAGGAUUUCCCCUGAAGGAAACCAUGCUGACUUUGUACUAUUUUGUUCUGUGUCACCAAGUACUCCGUAAACUCAUCCUUAGCAAUUGACUCAUCACCUCAUCCUUGACAAUUGACUCCAACAUCUCCUGAACCACUGUGGUCAGGCUAACUGGUCUAUAAUUUCCUUUCUGCUGCCUCCCCCCUAUUCUUAAAGAGUGGAGUGACAUUUGCAAUUUUCCAGUCCUUUGGCACCAUGCCAGAGUCCAAUUAUUUUGAAAGAUCAUUUCUGAUGUCUUUGUAUCUCUACCACGACCUCAUUCAGAACCCUAGGGUGCAGCUCAUCUGGUCCAGGUGACUUAUGUACCUUCAGGUCUUUCAGCUUUUUGAGCACCUUCUCUCUUGUAACAGUAACUGCACCCACUUCCCUUCCUUCACCCACUACAACAUCUGGCACACUGCUAGUGUCUUCCACAGUGAAGACUAACGCAAAAUACUCAUUUAGUUCAUCUGCCAUCUCCUUGUCUCCUGUUAUUAUGCCCCACCUCAUUUUCUAGCAGUCCUAUAUCCACUCUCAUUUCUC